GAUGAACGCUGGCGGUCUGCUUAACACAUGCAAGUCGAACGGAAUCCCUCGGGAUUUAGUGGCGGACGGGUGAGUAACACGUAAGAACCUGCCUCUAGGACGGGGACAACAGUUGGAAACGACUGCUAAACCCGGAUGAGCCGAAAGGUAAAAGAUUUAUCGCCUAGAGAGGGGCUUGCGUCUGAUUAGCUAGUUGGUAAGGUAAAGGCUUACCAAGGCGACGAUCAGUAGCUGGUCUGAGAGGAUGAUCAGCCACACUGGGACUGAGACACGGCCCAGACUCCUACGGGAGGCAGCAGUGGGGAAUUUUCCGCAAUGGGCGAAAGCCUGACGGAACAAGACCGCGUGGGGGAGGAAGGUUCUUGGAUUGUCAACCCCUUUUCUCAGGGAAGAACACAAUGACGGUACCUGAGGAAAAAGCAUCGGCUAACUCCGUGCCAGCCGCCGCUGUAACAC
rnacentral:rRNA from 1 species